CGACCUUGUGGACGAAGGCGUCGACAAGGGUUGGAUGGAGGAGGCCAGGGUGGCCCAGGUCCUCCUUGACAAGGUACGAGAGGAACAGCGCAAGACAUUUGAGCAAAAUAGCAGCC
rnacentral:SRP_RNA from 12 species